AUGGCAAAUCAGCUCUCUGGAGGAAGGACCAGGGUAAGAGGCCCGUGCAGAAGCAGAUUCAGUGUGGAUUUAAGCAAGUAAUUCUGGAGUCCCAGGUGUGGAAUUGUGAUUAAGCAAUGAACUGUCCCUGCCCUCAUGGAGUUUAAAGUCUGGAGAGAAAUCAGACGUUGGAUCAGGCAUUAUGUACCAGGAAGACAACACCUCCAGUUUCUUAUACCUGAUCACACAUGAAAACUAUUGAGAUUGGAGAAACUUGAGCAUAAAUAUUGCAGGUGUGGACCCUCAUAAUCUAAGGGAAAUGGACCUCUUAAAAGCAGCCAAGUAACAGCAAUGAUUUUGGAGGAGAGUCCUAAUU